rnacentral:misc_RNA from 1 species
GAUGAAGAACGCAGCGAAAUGCGAUACGUAAUGUGAAUUGCAAAUUCAGUGAAUCAUCGAGUCUUUGAACGCACAUUGCGCCCCCUGGUAUUCCGGGGGGCAUGCCUGUCCGAGCGUCAUUACUGCCCUCAAGCCCGGCUUGUGUGUUGGGCCCCGUCCUCCGAUCCCGGGGGACGGGCCCGAAAGGCAGCGGCGGCACCGCGUCCGGUCCUCGAGCGUAUGGGGCUUUGUCACCCGCUCUGUAGGCCCGGCCGGCGCUUGCCGAUCAACCCCAAUUGUUUAUAGGUUGACCUCGGAUCAGGUAGGGAUACCCGCUGAACUUAAGCAUAUCAAUAAGCGGAGGA